UGUAUAUUUGUGAUAUGCUUAAGGAUGACGGUAAAAGCCUAAUUGCAAUUAUUAAUUUCUGCUCGUCCAACACAGAAAAACAUUUCCUUUGUCCAAGAAAAGAAAAUUUCGAUAAUAACCCUUGGUAACGGAUCUGCGGAGAUGAAAGCUCAUGGCCAAGAAAAUAGGGAUUCAAGUAUGAUGUUAAACCACUUAGGCGAAAUUGCAGCAGUAGGCUGGUAAGGAAAACAAACAUUUAUGAGCUUAUUUCGGCGAGCCGAAUGAGUUUAUAGAAUAAGCAUUCGAUUUCGCCACAUGUAACAUUAAAAAUGUAACGCUUCAUUUUCCCUUGCGACCUGCUCUACCCAAUUAGCAAAAUUACAGGAUACGUGUGUUCUCAAAUAACGUGAUUACAUCAUUCUUUCCCCAGGGCCGGUAUUUCUUUCUAGAUCAAGGCCUACCAGCGUAUUGGAAUUUCUCGUUGUAAUGGCAGCUCGCAUCACAGCAAUUCUUCUCAUGUGUGCCGUGUUCGCCUACGGCAUCAUGGCCAUUGCAGCCAAUCAGGAUGCUACAGCACGAGGAAGUUCAGUGCCGGCGAGUGCUGCCAAUGAGGAUGCAAGAAUCUCAUCAGCUGCGAUCGGAAGCUUGGCGGGUGGAGGCCUCGGCUGAAGCUCACGUGAUUGGCUGCACCGAGGGAGCAGCGCGAGAGAACCGACUUUUGUCGCGUGCUCGCUUUAUUCUUUAGCGAGUUCAUUUUUCACCGUUCAAAUGAAAUAAAUGUCGGUGCAUUACCUGGU